AGAAGCGCCGUGGGAGGCGCUGAAGUUCUCCAACCCGUCGCGAAGGUUCCUGCAAAGGAGGAAUGGCUCCCUGGUGGCGUUCCCUCCCGCUCGGGCCACUACAUGAACACUGUUGGAGGAACCAAAAUAGACCAGAAGAUGACGGUGUAUGCUUCUUGGGACGAAGUAAAAAAUACAUAUAGCAGCACUUUGGUUUAUAGCAGCUCUCAUAUGGUGCAACUUUCACACUGCAUCUCCAUUUUGGCUACUUGACACCAUGGAGCUCACAGCGUCCUGGCCAGGAGGACCUUGGUUCAAAGCAGCCUCAGCAGAUGCUCCCACCUCCACAACCCUUGUGAACGUGCAGCCCUUCAGAGGGAGUUUGGUGUUGGUUGUGCUGGUCAUGGCCAGUCUGCAGUGCCUGGUGUGUGGGGCAGAGACCACAGGGGCAGUUGUCAGUGAUGGCCUGGGCGGAAAAACAAAGUCAUUUCUAUUUAGCAGCUUUCCCAGCCACAUGGAAGAGCAACAAGGCAGGUGAAGGGACUAGAAAACAAGUGUUAUGAGGAGUGACUGAGAGAAUCGGUUUUAUUUAGUCUGGAGAAGAGGAGGCUGAGGGGAGACCUCAUUGGUCUCUACAACUGCCUACUGCCUCUGCACAGCAGUCAAGGUGGUACAAGCACCUAAAAGUAUGAGCUUCAACAAGAGAAGAGCCUUGCUACAGUUCUACAGAUACUUAAGAGUACAGCUCCCAAGAGACAUCUUACUUUCAGUUCUGUAAGGUUUCCUGUUUCACAUAUGUCGCAUUCAUGACUCCACAUUGCUGUCAGCGCCAUCAGGUGACCAACAUCAGGAGCCAAAUUCAGAGCAGACCUUGAAGCCCUAAAACAUAGAGUAGAAUCAUAGAAUGGCCUGGGUUGAAAAGGACCACAAUGAUCAUGAAGUUUCAACCCCCCUGCUACGUGCAGGGUCGCCAACCAGCAGACCAGGCUGCCCAGAGCCACAUCCAGCCUGG
ensembl:lncRNA